CACAGUCACGCGUGCUUGCAGACUGAUCUCCUCCAUUUUUUUCUAUCCUUUUUUUUCUUGCUUCAUCAAGAUAACUACCGUUGCCAUCUGCCCCAUCUAUGGCAAGGUAAGGCAACCACACACAUCCACCUGGCAGCAUGAUGGCACAGUCAUGCUUGCUUGCAGAGUUUUUUUCUUAGUUCAGUGGGCUACAUUUAAGUUUUUUUCUUAGUUCAGUGGGCUACGUUUCACGGUUCAUUCAUUAAGACAAGUAUUGUUUCUUUUUUCUGUCUUUUUCUCUACCUUUUGUUUUAGUGGGAAGGCAUUUUAUGGUUCAUUCAUUAAGAUAGGUACUGUUGGGCUUCGUUUUACAAUUCAUUCAUUAAUGCAAGUACCGUUUGCUCUAAAUUUUUUUCAUACCUUUUUUUUUUAGUGGGAUGCACAUUCUGGAGGCAAUGCAGACUAUUUACAUUUUAUUAAGGCAGUUUUGGAGGAGAAAAGUCGUUUCACGAUUCAUUUAUGAAAAUAGACAUUGUUCUCUUCUUCUUUUUUUUAAGGCUAUGCUGCAGAGCGAUUUCUCCAAACUUUUCAAACUAGCUGGAUGGUGUCGUGUGGAAGUCUCCGAUGCCAACAUCCAGGCAAACUUCAAUGCAACACUUAUCGUUCUGGGAGACCAUCGGGCUCUCCUUUAAUGUAUUAUAUAGAUAAUAGGUAAAUGAUGAUCAGAAUUUUUUCUAGACCCCAGUUUUCCAAAAUUGAAAUCCCACAAGUCUUAUUUUUACUGGAGCUAAAAAUUUCUACGAAGUGUUAAUAAUUGGUAGAUGCAUCACAUCUAGGUUGCAUUUAAAAAUUUUUAAUCAAAAACUAUAAUUUUAUUUUUAUAAAUCUAUAUAUUUUUAUUUUUGAAGCAAAAUGGUGGUAGAAUGCACUGGCCACCACACAUUUUAUUAGCAAUGGAAUAGAUAUAAAAUAUUUUUCAAAAAACUUUAAAAGCAAGAAAUUGUUUUUCAAAGCAAGUAGUAAAUUAUUUGAAAAGGAUGUGUCUGCAAGGAAAAGUUAAAAACAUUAUUAAAAGAAAACGCAGCUUCUACUUCGACUUUAAAAUGACAAUAAACCUAACUCCUAGUUAAAGUUGUUCCAGAUCAUGUAAAGCAGCAAUCAACCGUUUUCCAGCCUCCCUCAAGUUCUCUGCCGCCUCCUCUGUUGCUGUUGUUGCUGCUGUGGCCAAGGUGGAGCUGAGAGUAGCAAUAGAAGAGAAAGGUCUCUCGAGAAGAAGGAUUCCUCUCGUGUUGCUUCGAGAAUGGGAAUCUUAGGGAUGGAAAAGGGGAAGAAGGUUUGGGCUUGAGAAGGUUUUGGGAAUGGAGAAGAGUGGUGAGGUCGGUGAAAGGAUGGGAGUCGGAGGAGAAGAAGCUCUAUGGUCUUAAGUUACAGUGUAGCCAGGAGCUUGGGGUGGAGCUCUUCAAAACCUCAAUUUGUAGAUGCAUCAUGCAUUGCACCAAAUGUAUAUAGAAUUUUGAUAAAUCACUAUUUUUCACAUCAAUUCUUGUAAAUUUGCAACCUGUAUUUGUAGUCCCUCCUGCUAUUCCUCUUAUAAACCUAUCGCUCAGUAGCAAAUCAACAUCUCUCUCUCUCUCUCUUUGUGUGUUUGUGUGUGUGUGUUUGUGUGCCUUCUGUGGGCAUUGUUGUUGUUAUUAUUGUUGAACAUUAGGAUGGAAGGUUGCCUGAUCAAUAUUAGGGUGAAGACGAGGAUCUUUUAUGGUGCUUAUUUUAUAUCCCGUACCACCCUA
rnacentral:lncRNA from 1 species